rnacentral:rRNA from 1 species
UACGGAAGGCAGCAGUGGGGAAUAUUGCACAAUGGGCGAAAGCCUGAUGCAGCUAUGCCGCGUGUAUGAAGAAGGCCUUAGGGUUGUAAAGUACUUUCAUCGGGGAGGAAAAAACAAAACUAAUAAUUUUAUUUCUUGACGUUACCCGAAAAAGAAGCACCGGCUAACUCCGUGCCAGCAGCCGCGGUAAUACGGAGGGUGCUAGCGUUAAUCAGAAUUACUGGGCGUAAAGAGCACGUAGGUGGUUUUUUUAAAGUCAGAUGUGAAAUCCCUGGGCUUAACCUAGGAACUGCAUUUUGAAACUGAAAUACUAGAGUAUCGUAGAGGGAGGUAGAAUUCUAGGUGUAGCGGUGAAAUGCGUAGAUAUCUGGAGGAAUACCUGUGGCGAAAGCGGCCUCCUAAACGAAUACUGACACUGAGGUGCGAAAGCGUGGGGAGCAAAACAGGGAUUAGAUACC